rnacentral:rRNA from 1 species
CCUACGGGUGGCAGCAGUGGGGAAUAUUGGGCAAUGGGCGAAAGCCUGACCCAGCAACGCCGCGUGAAGGAAGAAGGCUUUCGGGUUGUAAACUUCCUUUGACAGGGAAGAGCAGAAGACGGUACCUGUCGAAUAAGCCACUGCUAACUACGUGCCAGCAGCCUCGGUAAUACGUAGGUGGCAAGCGUUGUCCGGAUUUACGGGGUGUAAAGGGCGUGUAGCCGGGCUGACAAGUCAGAUGUGAAAUUUGGGGGCUCAACCCCCGGACUGCAUUUGAAACUGUUGGUCUUGAGUGUCGGAGAGGCAGGCUGAAUGCCUGGUGUAGCGGUGAAAUGCGUAGAUAUUAGGAGGAACACCGAUGGCGAAGGUGGCAUGCUGG